GUGAGCCAAACCCCACGUCCCCAACCGCAUACGGACUUAACUAUCCAACUCUUAAACAUAUCACUUAUGCCAAAAAAUUGACAAAAUUGUGACUUUCAAAUAUUGACUUACACAAAAUCUUGAACGGUUGGCGGUGGUGGUUUUUUCAGAGUGAGAGGGGAUGAAUAUAUAGUCUUCAGAUUAGAGUUCUUGAUCCUAAUGGUAGAAUAUAUGUUACUUAAUUUUCAAUGAAUACAGUAGGCAUUUUUGACAUGAAAUAUAACGAUUUCCUAAAUUAAAUUGUUCACCAGCUAUAAGAAUAUUAAGUAUGGGGCAAGUUAAAGUUGUAAAAAUCGAUUUUGAUUUAGGAUGGCAAAUAUGUGGUAGCUAGAAGACUAAUAAUCAACAAUCAAUGCAUGCAUUGUUUUAUUAUGAUGUAACUGGAGUUGAACGAGGUUAAACCGUGACUCUUCGCAUAUUUUAAUGGUUGGUUUUUUUUUUUAAAGUCCAGUCCAGAAUGACAUGGCAUAAUGGUUGGUUCUGAUUAUUUUGUUCAUGUGGCAAGG
rnacentral:lncRNA from 1 species